UGGUGUCGUCGCUACUGUCAAAUCCUGGAC
rnacentral:piRNA from 1 species